UGAGGGAUAUUGGUCAAUGGGGGAAACCCUGAACCAGCAACGCCGCGUGAGGGAAGACGGUUUUCGGAUUGUAAACCUCUGUCCUCUGUGAAGAUGAUGACGGUAGCAGAGGAGGAAGCUCCGGCUAACUACGUGCCAGCAGCCGCGGUAAUACGUAGGGAGCGAGCGUUGUCCGGAUUUACUGGGUGUAAAGGGUGCGUAGGCGGCUAGGCAAGUCAGAAGUGAAAUCCAUGGGCUUAACCCAUGAACUGCUUUUGAAACUGCGUAGCUUGAGUGAAGUAGAGGUAGGCGGAAUUCCCGGUG
rnacentral:rRNA from 1 species